GACGAACGCUGGCGGCGUGCUUAACACAUGCAAGUCGAACGGAAAGGCCCUGCUUUUGUGGGGUGCUCGAGUGGCGAACGGGUGAGUAACACGUGAGUAACCUGCCCUUGACUUUGGGAUAACUUCAGGAAACUGGGGCUAAUACCGGAUAGGAGCUCCUGCUGCAUGGUGGGCGUUGGAAAGUUUCGGCGGUUGGGGAUGGACUCGCGGCUUAUCAGCUUGUUGGUGGGGUAGUGGCUUACCAAGGCUUUGACGGGUAGCCGGCCUGAGAGGGUGACCGGCCACAUUGGGACUGAGAUACGGCCCAGACUCCUACGGGAGGCAGCAGUGGGGAAUAUUGCACAAUGGGCGGAAGCCUGAUGCUGCAACGCCGCGUGCGGGAUGACGGCCUUCGGGUUGUAAACCGCUUUCGCCUGUGACGAAGCGUGAGUGACGGUAAUGGGUAAAGAAGCACCGGCUAACUACGUG
rnacentral:rRNA from 1 species